rnacentral:rRNA from 1 species
AUUGAACGCUGGCGGCAGGCCUAACACAUGCAAGUCGAGCGGGAACUUCGGUUCUAGCGGCGGACGGGUGAGUAAUGCGUAGGAAGCUACCCGAUAGAGGGGGAUACCAGUUGGAAACGACUGUUAAUACCGCAUAAUGUCUACGGACCAAAGUGUGGGACCUUCGGGCCACAUGCUAUCGGAUGCGCCUACGUGGGAUUAGCUAGUUGGUGAGGUAAUGGCUCACCAAGGCGACGAUCCCUAGCUGGUUUGAGAGGAUGAUCAGCCACACUGGAACUGAGACACGGUCCAGACUCCUACGGGAGGCAGCAGUGGGGAAUAUUGGACAAUGGGCGCAAGCCUGAUCCAGCCAUGCCGCGUGUGUGAAGAAGGCCUUCGGGUUGUAAAGCACUUUCAGCGAGGAGGAAGGGUUGUGUGUUAAUAGUACACAGCCUUGACGUUACUCGCAGAAGAAGCACCGGCUAACUCUGUGCCAGCCGCCGCAGUAAAAC